AAAAACGCGUGAAUUUCUAAGCUUAUGGCAAACAAAGUACAGUUUUACGAUGAUACGGUAAACAGACAAAACGCAGAUGUCGAUGAUAUCUCUGAAGAUGUGGGAUAGGGUUAUGUGAACAGCAUCCUCUGCAGCCACACAAUGGAUAACGAGGAGAGUAAGGCGUGCCAAGGAGAGAAGCUCGCCUCUACUGUGGAUGACACUCUGGAUGAAUAUUUAAUCGCCCUCCAGCGCAAAAACAGGAUCCUCAAGCGCCUUAAAGUCAAAGACCCCAGGGAGAUUGAGUUGGAGCGGCUAGAGCAAGGCUUUUCCAUUUAUCUUAAUGGAGCCAAUGCUGAAGACUGCAGGAAGCAGCCCAAGAGCACCAGCCACAAGUCUGUCACCUCCACAACUGCUUGGAGGCCUGCACGUACAGCAGAUGUCUGUAGAAGCGCCCACCAGCUAACUGAAGAUACCCAUAAUCUGGAGCAGACCAGCAGGCAGAGGAGCCACACCGCCCCAGGAAAGGUCCAGAGGAAAGAAUGGGUGCAGGAUUCUGUCAGAAUUCGAACAGAAGAAGGACCAAGUUUGCAGAUAUCCCCAGAAAAGCGCUACUCUGAGGAUUUUGAGCCUUAUGAAAGUGUAGCCAUGGAGAGCUCCAGUCCGCGCUCGCCUCGUAGUCCCUGCUCCCAGAGGGACAUCUGCAAGGUUUCGCACUCAUUCAACUACAGGCCUGAGAGCCAAGGAGGACAAGCAAACCAGGAACACAGUGAGAAGGUGCUUCUCAACCUCGAGGAAGUGAAGGUUUUGCGUCAGAGCCUGGAGGUUAGCAUGUGGCGUAGCAACCGCGGCUCAGCAGGGGAGGAGUCAGACGAGGAGUGGGUGGAGGAGCAGAUUGAGAGGGACGAGAGCACUGAGAGUCUGGAUGAACUGGGGCUGCCUCUCUCUUCCUCCAAGUCCUCCUCAAACGCUAGGCCAAGCCCUUCCCAUAGCCAGUUUGACUCUGCAAACCUCAUUGUCCUGGACUUUGGACCUUCACCUAAAGGUCGUAAGAUUGAACGUUCUCUGUCUGCAAAAAGGAAAGACAGCAUUGACAACUUCAUACCCACCAAGCCUAUGUUGGUGAAGAGCAAAACAUUAGAUAGGCCACCUUCAAAAGGGAGCUGGGAUGGUCCAAGGCCAAGGAGUCGGGUGGAGAGGCCCUUAUCAGCAGCCAGGAAGGCUUCCUUUGAGGAUCGAGACCCAGAGGACAUGGCGUGCGGGGUGCGCCAGGCCAUCCAGAGAGAGAACAAGCCUCUGCAAAGUCCUGAGCCCUUGAGUCGCAACACGGGCAGGGGACACCAGAUGAUGAAUGGCUUAGUGCAUCACAACACCCACGACAAGGAUGAGAACAGUGUCAGUGUGGCAAUGCAGAAAAUCACGCUUAUGGGCCCCAGGCAGCAACAGAAACUGUUGAAAGCCUUGGAGAAACUGGAAAGUGGACCCAGCUACAACAUCCCCCAGAGUGUCAAAACAGAUUACAGCAAACAGCUGAGAAGGCAGUUCUCAGAGGUCACCCCUGCACUGUACGUUACCAUGGAGAUCCUGUCAAACUGGGGGAAUGCUCUACAGGUCGGGCUGACUGAGUUGCAGUUUUUCUGCCUCAGAAACAAAAAGCUGUAUGUUUCACCUCACGACCUAGACAUCAGGAACACUGACUACCCGGGGAAUCUGGGGGCACUUGUCAAUGGAAAGGCGAAGACCACCAAAGAGCGUCACAUGUGGACGUGCCCGUUCCAUCCUCCCAUCCAGCUCUACUUCAUCAUCAGAAACACGGAGCGCUCGGCAGACUUUGGAAUAUCCCGCAUCAAAAUCUGGAACUACAACAGAAGCCUCAGUGAGCUUGAUGUUGGUGCACGUCACAUAAAGCUGUACCUCAACAGCACACUGGUGUUUGAAGGGGAGUUGGAGAAGGGCUGUGGCAACCAGGUGUUUGACUACAGCACCACAAUUGAUCUCCAGGAUUUCCAGGUGUCAGACUCCUUGUAUUCCAGCCCUGUGUCUUCAGGAUACAAUCUUCGGGGUGCCAGCCCCCAGCGCUGUGAUGAUAGGAAGGGUGGGGAGGGCACCCAGAGACACCACAGUUCAAAUCCACAGCCGCCAGACACAGCAGAACAGGCAAUGAUGGACAUGCAGGAGAAAUCGCACACACCGCUUCCACCCAUCAUUCCCUCAGCAGCGGGGGUUUCAUCCUCUCCCCGUCGCUCCUCCACACAAAUAAACUCUUUUGACCUGUCCACCUCAGAAGAACCCCUCUCGCUCAGACAGCAGGUGGAGCAGCCAACACCCAUGGAGCAGACGGUCACCACCCAGCCGUCUUCCACCCGGGUCGCCCCCCAGUGGCUGCAGCCACUGAACAGAGGAGCGCCGGAGGGCUGCGAGGUUAGCAGGGAGAGGCCACGGUGGCUGGUGCCUCAGCACUCAGGAGAGCCCAAAUCUCCAUCAGCCUCAGCAUCUUCAAUGCUCCCGGAACUGCCGUGUAACCCGGCCCGGGUGUGCAGGGGAGUGGAGAGGCCAGUAAAUGGAAGUCAGUGGAAGGAUGAUUCUUUGGACAUGAGCUGUGACCUGCUGGAGGAGUUCGGAGAUCAGAAGCUGGACAGGCCCAUCAGCGGACGCAGGAGCUCGUUCCGAAACACUACGGUCACCACCAGGCAGACAGAGGAGCAACACUUUAGAGCUACUGUGCUGUCAAAUACAGACGAGCCGUUGUCAUUGGUAAACACCAGCAGGAGGCAGAGCACCCUUCGAGCCCAGCUGCACAGCCAGCAGGAUGACACCCUCAUGGAGUCCUGGGAUUCCCUCACUAAGUUCAACCAAUGCCAACGUGGACGCAUUUCAAACACUGGCUUUGAAGGUGACAUCUUUGAUGAGUUUCUGCAGCGCCAGGGCCGUGGUCCACCCACACUCCCAGUCAACCCCGCCUCAGCAACCAGGAGCCCACUCUCCUCCUUGAUCGCUCAGGGGCCGCUGUGCGAAGCCCCCGAUGAUGAUUCAGCAAUGGAGCGAGAGGAAGAAUUUGAGAUCCCAGUGCUACCCCAGGGCCAGAGGCUGGUCAUCAACAUCCUGUCCACCUGGGGCGAUCGACACUACGUGGGUCUCAACGGCCUGGAGGUUUUCAGCUCCAGUGGAGAACCGCUCCGACCUGCUCACAUCCGCGCUGACCCUCCAGACAUCAACAUUCUGCCAGCUUAUGGCAAGGAUCCACGUGUAGUCAACAACUUGAUCGAUGGUGUUAAUCGCACACAGGAUGACAUGCAUCUUUGGCUAGCCCCCUUCACCCCUGGUCGAAGCCACACCAUCUUCCUGGACUUUGGAGCCCCCUACCAGGUUGCCAUGAUCCGUGUGUGGAACUACAACAAGUCACGCAUCCACUCUUUCCGAGGGGUGAAGGAGGUGGAAAUGCUGCUGGAUGGAAGGUGCAUCUUCAGAGGCGAGAUUGCAAAGGCUUCUGGGACGCUGUCUGGAGGUCUGGACCAGUUUGGAGAUACUAUCCUGUUCACCACUGAUGAUGAAAUCCUGGAGGCCAUGUCUCGUUAUGAUGAAACCUUCCUUAGUGAAGGUGAUGGUCCAGAGACUCUGGUGUCUGAGGAGGAGCUGCAGAGACCACGCACCGCAGACGGAGAGGGAGAGGAAAGACCUUUCACACAGGCUGGUUUCCGAGAGGAAGACCUAACUUUGAAACUUCACCUCAACCCCACUGUGAGCCAGUCUGAGGAGAACAUGGGGCAGAUUCCUGGGAUGUACACUGGAACGUGCCUUCGACUAGAGCUGGUGUUAACGUGGGGUGACUCCCACUACAUGGGCCUGACAGGUUUGGAGGUGGUGGGGAAGGAUGGAGAGAGUUUACCUUUGGACCUCAGUAUUAUGGCUGCCUCACCCAGGGACCUCAAUGACUUGCCUGACUACGGACAUGAUUUGCGCACUCUUGAUAAGCUUAUAGACGGCCACAACAUUACCACUGAUGACCAGAACAUGUGGCUGAUCCCUUUCCGCUAUGGAGAGCCCCACUCCUUAGAUAUUACCUUCAACGAGCCGCAGACCAUCGCUGGACUCCGUAUCUGGAACUACAACAAGACACCUGAGGACUCUUACAGAGGGGUGAAAGUGAUCCAUGUGUUCAUGGAUAAUGUUGCCAUCUCCCCAACGGAGGGAUUCCUGAUCAGGAAAGGACCGGGAAACUGUCACUUUGACUUUGCCCAGGAGAUCCUCUUUGUAGACUUCAUCCAAACACCCACCGACAACAAGAGUGCUGAAGACUACCCACACAAAGGAAGCUUUAAGAAACAAGAACAGGCCAGCAUGGACUAUGAAGCUCCCAUCAUGCCUUGUGGAUUCAUAUUUCAGCUGCAGCUGUUAACAACCUGGGGGGACCCUUACUACAUCGGCCUGAACGGUCUCGAGUUUUAUGACCAGAAUCACGAAAGGAUUAGUCUCAGUGACAACAACAUCGCUGCUUUUCCAGACAGUGUGAAUGUACUGGACAAUGUGAGUGGUGACGUGAGGACUCCAGAUAAAUUAAUAGAUGGAGUCAACAGUACCCUUGAUGGAAGACAUAUGUGGCUAGCACCGGUGCUCCCUGGACUGGUGAACCGUGUGUACGUCAUCUUUGACCACCCAGUGACCGUGUCCAUGAUCAAGCUGUGGAACUACUCCAAAACGUCACAGAGAGGAGUAAAGGAGUUUGGGCUGCUGGUGGACGACCUCUUGGUGUACAAUGGCAUUUUGGACUGCGUGUGCAAUGUGGCUCGAGGUAUUCUGCCUACCUGUGACCCAGUGGUGCCUUACCACACCAUCCUCUUCACAGACAAUGCAUACAUUGCACACCGUGAGAGGAACACCGUCAUCAGCCCCCAUGGCAGCAGACACCACCAACAGUGAGUAACAGAGCCCCUUAAAGCCUCGUGUCAGCACCUCCCUGUGGUCAAUCCCUGUAUUGAAAAUUCCUCCAGAGCCCUCAAAUGUCCCCCAGCCAUCCCACCACCACACCACAAGCUUGACAUGUGAUGCCCCAGUUUCUCCUCUCUUCCUUUCCUCUCUCCUUUGUUACCUCUCAAGGCCUGGACCCGCUGGCUUCAAGCUUUGUUAUUAGUCAGUCCUCCAUUUUUGUGUCAUUCGUCAGCCUCCCACAGGUGUAUACAUCAGAUUUACUUCAAGUGUUUUGUGCUUGUCUUCAUUUCCUUGCUGUGUUGCAGUAAUUACGUGGAGGAUCAGGAUGUGAAGAUGACCAACGAAAAUCAGAUAGUCCAUCACAACAAGAAGAAGCAGACAGCAGAUCCAGCUCUUCGGCCUAAAACCUGCAUGACUGAUGGUGGGAAGCACGGAAAGAGGAGGUACUGAC